CCGGACUGCUGCCUUUUGCCAUGCAGUCUCCUCCCGUCCCCUCUAGGCCAAUGGCAGAUGAGGAGCUGCCUUCGCCUCCCACCUCCUACCCCGCCGACAACGGGACGACCACGCACCCGAAUGGGACCCUGCAGCAGCUGCCUCAGAUUAUAAUCAUCGGUGUGAGGAAAGGGGGGACGCGGGCUCUGAUCGAGAUGCUAAGUCUUCACAGCGCCGUCGCUGCAGCUCAGAACGAGGUGCAUUUCUUCGACUGGGAGAGUCACUUCCAGAAAGGCUACCCCUGGUACCUGAGCCAGAUGCCUUACUCCUUCCCUGACCAGCUGACGGUGGAGAAGACGCCGGCCUACUUCACCUCCAGCAAAGUCCCCAAGCGCAUCUAUGACAUGAACCCUGACAUCAAGCUGCUGCUCAUCCUCAGAGACCCGACGGAGCGAGUGCUCUCGGACUACACGCAGGUUUUUUACAACCGUCUCCAGAAACACAAGCGCUACCAACCCAUCGAGUCCAUGCUGGUGAAGGACGGAGAAAUCAAUCUGAGAUACAAGGCCCUCAACCGCAGCCUGUACCACGUGCACAUGCAGAACUGGCUGCAGUACUUUCCGCUGGAGAAUAUUCACGUGGUGGAUGGGGACGAGUUGAUCAGGGACCCUUUCCCUGAGAUGAAGAAGGUGGAGCGCUUCCUGAAACUUGAACCUCAGAUCAACGCGUCAAACUUUUACUUCAAUAAAACUAAAGGAUUCUACUGUUUGAGGGACCACGGUAGAGAGCGCUGUUUACAUGACUCCAAGGGCAGGGCUCAUCCUCAUGUGGCGCCGAGCAUCCUGCAGAAACUCUACCAGUUCUUCCACCAACCCAACAAGAGGUUCUUUGAGAUGGUGGGUCGAACGUUUGACUGGAAAUAAACGCGUGAGCAGUUCGGUGUCCAUAGACUGGUAGAGUUAACGACGUCGCAAAGUGAAGUCCUGAUCGCAUGCACUGAGCCCAGAGCAGCAGUGUAUGUAGACAAGUACUCACCACACUAAAUUAUACCAGAUACAGUACUGUGGAAGCUUCAACCACAGAUCUCAACUAAGCAUGUGCUUGGACCAGAAACUGAAACCUGCAUCUAGUGUAUGAGUCACCUUCUAUCAAAAGACAAAUAUUGUUUCCUUUAGUACCUGAGAAAUAUUGCGUCACAUGAGAGUGUCUGAUACAACAGCUCUGUUCGGAUCAUUAAGGUGUACUGUACUGUAAAUAGUUUUUUAAAGAGAUGAGAUAAUAAAAAAUAAAGAUGUAUUUUAUUUUUAAGCAAGUCUCCUGUUUUUCAUCAACUGUCUAAAUGUUUAGAUAAUCCACUGGAUUUUAUUUCUGGAUAUUCGAGACAUUAGCACUGAGUUAUCGCUGGGGUCAAGGGGUUCGCCAAAUAAUAUCGUCAUCGUCCGUAGCCUACAAGAUAUUUAUUUGACUUAGAUUUUUUUUUUUCAUUGCAGGAGUUGUGGAUCUACUGUUUUGUGUCAAUCAUUAUGGUUAAAUAUGCUAUUUUGCAUCUUGACCUUACAGUGUUUGGUUUGGUCUCACUUCAGUAACACAACCUGACCACACGAGGCAGCAGUGGAUCAGCAGCUCCUGUGUCCGCUUGAGUCAUAAACGUUGAUUUUCACUG